UACGUAGGGGGCAAGCGUUGUCCGGAAUUAUUGGGCGUAAAGCGCGCGCAGGCGGUCCUUUAAGUCUUGUGUUUAAGCCCAGAGCUCAACUCUGGUACGCAUGGGAAACUGGGGGACUUCGAGUGCAGGAGAGGAAAGUGGAAUUCCACGUGUAGCGGUGAAAUGCGUAGAGAUGUGGAGGAACACCAGUGGCGAAGGCGACUUUCUGGCCUGUAACUGACGCUGAGGCGCGAAAGCGUGGGGAGCAAACAGG
rnacentral:rRNA from 1 species